rnacentral:rRNA from 1 species
ACGGAAGGCAGCAGUGGGGAAUAUUGGGCAAUGGGGGAAACCCUGACCCAGCAACGCCGCGUGAGGGAAGAAGGCUUUCGGGUUGUAAACCUCUUUUACCAGGGACGAAGAACGUGACGGUACCUGGAGAAAAAGCAACGGCUAACUACGUGCCAGCAGCCGCGGUAAUACGUAGGUUGCAAGCGUUGUCCGGAUUUACUGGGUGUAAAGGGCGUGUAGGCGGAGCUGCAAGUCAGAUGUGAAAUCCCGGGGCUCAACCCCGGAACUGCAUUUGAAGCUGUAGCCCUUGAGUAUCGGAGAGGCAAGCGGAAUUCCUAGUGUAGCGGUGAAAUGCGUAGAUAUUAGGAGGAACACCAGUGGCGAAGGCGGCUUGCUGGACGACAACUGACGCUGAGGCGCGAAAGCGUGGAGAGCAAGCAGGAUUAGAUACCCAGGUA